rnacentral:sRNA from 2 species
GAGCCUCGUAGUAUAUGAUCUUUUUCAGUAUGUUGAAAGACCGAAGAGUCUGGUCUCUCUAUCUGUCAUUACUUGCGCUUUAUUGUUCUCCCUCCAAACAGGGACAUUCUAGCUGCAUGAAAGGGUGAACCAAGAUAUCUCUACCACCUCCACUCUGUAUUUCCUAUGCCCACUGCAUUCUUCUGAACUAACUCACUUUCAACACUGUAGUCAUCAUCAUCAUCAUCAGCAGCAGCAGCAGCACUGGCAGUUGUUGAUGAAUGACUAUUUAAGACUAUCCCAGCAUGCUUAGCCUCUUUCUAACUGAGUUGGCUUCUGACUCUGUAGUACAGCAAGAAAGCCGCUAGAGUUUUAAUUAUAAUGGAAAUUUAAUAAAUUAUUUCAUAAAUUAUUUUCUAUAUAUCUGAAGUAUAUAUGAGUUGCGAAUUCAAUAAUCUUAUAUAUAGUACACUGUGAUACUGUUUGUUUUUGGGU